rnacentral:rRNA from 1 species
GGCGUAUGCGCUGAGACUUGUGGGGCAGCUGCUGGACCCGUGUUCUAGAGGCCUCCCUCUGGGAGGAACCUGGUCGCGGCGACGGUUGUUUGCCCUGCUUGUAUGGGUACGGCCAACGGACCUUGCCUGUGCCGUUGUUCCCUUGCGGGUGGUAUCGCAUGCGAUGCCUAGCCCUGGGGGCAGCGGUUCGGUCCGGUGUUCCCGUUUCCCGCUCUCGGUGUAGAAGCUGGUCAUCUCUCCGACCCGUCUUGAAACACGGACCAAGGAGUUUAGCGUAUGCGCGAGUCAUUGGGUGCGAAAACCCACAGGCGAAAUGAAAGUAAAGGCCCGGUCGCUGGGCUGGACAUGCGAGCGCUGGGGCCUCGGCCCCGGCAUGCAGCAUGGUCCCGUUCCGGUCGCUU